UAGUAUAAAAAGCCCCGGUACCUCAUUCGCUCCUAAGAGCCCAUCUGGAAAGACAGCUUCAGUGUUACAUUUUCAGAUCCUUCAAAAAUGAACGAUUACCGAGUCCUGACUUCGGAAAUCAAAGUACCAAAAGAAUGGCCAGUGGAAGGUAUACAAAACUUAAUCGAAUUUUUGGCGCAAGAUGGGAUCUGCUGUCAUCAAUCAGGAAAAAAGUUCGUCAUGACCGUAGGGAACGUGUCGGCGAUGAUUACCACUAACGGGACCAGGCCGGGAUAUGUUUUCAAAAAGAUAGAACAGAUAGAUGAUGAAAACACUUACAGAACUGAUCUGAUAGUCCCGGCGAAAAUUGUAAUACUGAAGCGUAAACCUGGCGGCCCUGAUGACAAGGAAGAGGAAUCAACACAAUGCCUGCCUAUGAACCUAAAAUUUGAUCACCUAAUUACGAAAUUGCUUGUGAAAAGGCCGGAUCGUCACACAGUUGUGACUGUUGUACCAGACCUCCAAAGGAUUUUACUGCUAAAAGGCAUCACAGGCUUAAAGAUGUACGAUUAUUCUUUCCGAACAACAUACAGAGUUCACAACAUCAAGCGGCUCGAUGAUAUAGUGUCUGACAUGAAAUUGGCGGAUUCUUCCAUAGCUGCGGAGCUGGUUUCUGAAAAUAGAUGGGAUAUUGUGUGUUAUGACCGCCUGCCACGACCUCAGCGAUUCUGGUACAGCUUGAAGAUAGCAUCCCCUUGGAUUUGUUUUGUAAUAUUUUUCGUUACAAUUACAGUUUUGAUUUAUUUUUUAGUACAAGAAAUU